rnacentral:rRNA from 1 species
UACGUAGGGUCCGAGCGUUGUCCGGAAUUACUGGGCGUAAAGAGCUCGUAGGUGGUUUGUCGCGUUGUCCGUGAAAACUCACAGCUCAACUGUGGGCGUGCGGGCGAUACGGGCAGACUGGAGUACUGCAGGGGAGACUGGAAUUCCUGGUGUAGCGGUGGAAUGCGCAGAUAUCAGGAGGAACACCGGUGGCGAAGGCGGGUCUCUGGGCAGUAACUGACGCUGAGGCGCGAAAGCCAGGGGAGCGAACGGG